rnacentral:snoRNA from 1 species
CAGCAUCCUCUGAUAGACCAUGAGCACGUCUCCCGUUGCUCGCUGGUUUGCAUUAAGAUGCAAAAAUAACUUCCUCGCGCUUUCUGCCUGCCUGAGUGUGGCAGCUCAGAUUGAAUUGGGGAAUACACAG